rnacentral:rRNA from 1 species
AUUGAACGCUGGCGGCAGGCCUAACACAUGCAAGUAGAGCGGAGCGGCGGACGGGCGAGUAAUGCCUAGGAAUCUGCCUGGUAGUGGGGGAUAACGUCCGGAAACGGGCGCUAAUACCGCACACUAUCAGAUGAGCCUAUGUGUGAUUAGCUAGUGGGUGGGGUAAGGGGCUACCAAGGCGACGACCCGUAACUGGUCUGAGAGGAUGAUCAGUCACACUGGAACUGAGACACGGUCCAGACUCCUACGUGAGGCAGCAGUGGGGAAUAUUGGACAAUGGGCGAAAGCCUGAUCCAGCCAUGCCGCGUGUUUGAAGAAGGUCUUCGGAUUUUAAAGCACUUUAAGUUGGGAGGCGUUACCAACAGAAUAAUCACCGGCUAACUUCGUGCCAGCAGCCGCGGUAAUAC